CUCUCCCGCGCCGCACCCCCUUCCCAUUCGCUCUCUCUCUCGUCGGCUCCAUCCCAGGCCAUUGUCGCCGCCAUCGAGCAUGACCACCUCACCGGACCCAGCCACCCCACCCCACCCCACGCCUCCCUCUCCCUCUCUUCCCUUUCUCUCUCCCCGAGGCAAGCCCAAACCGAGUCCCUCACUCGGUUCCCUGUCGUCGCGAGUCAAUCUGACGCCAGCAGUUGAGCUGCACCACCACCAGCAGCCCCCCACCUCACCAACGACCCGCUUCCUCCCUUUCCCACAGCCGAAGCCCCCAAAUUUCCGUCUCCCUCGCACGCUCCAUCUCCCUCUCGGCAUUCUCUUCAUCACGGCCCAGAUCCGCCGCUAGGCCCACCGUGAGCCACCUCGACUGUCUCAACUCCUGCCUCCCUCGCGUUCUCUCUCUCACGGAUUCCCUGUGCACAGAUUGGUUUUCCCUGCCGCCGUGAGCCACAAUCGCCGCCUCUAGCCACAACGCCGCACCACCACGAGCAACCCACAGACACAGCAGUACCUCCCGCACGCUUUUAUUCACUGUAGAAGCCCUUAAGUAUGGUAAAAUCCUACCUUUAUAUAUUUAGAGUAAAUGGACGUUUAUAUAUAUCGUGGUGUUUAUUGUUUAGACAGAUUUAUAUUCAUGAAUAUGUAGUAUUUUGGUUGUGUUGUUGUGAAAGUCGGAGGAGAAACAGAAUGGUUGCGAUAUUGUUGUUGGAUUGUGAAGUGUUGGGUCUUGUGUUGUAGUUGUGAAGUGUUGGGUUUUGUGUUAUACUUGGUUGGAAUUGUAUUGAGCCAUGAUGAAUUGAAUAUGCGUGUUGUAUUUAUUAUGAGGGUUGGGAUUGAAAUAUAGAUCUGUGGUACUCCAUUACAUGCUGAUUUGCAGGGGUGUGGGAAAGGGCAAGUAUUAAUUUCCUACUAAAUGCUUGUUUGCAGUUUUGGUUGGCAUCUAAAGUGUAAUUCUAAAAUGCCUCAUCCAUAUAUACAGACUGCUAUCGCAUACUGUUUGAUCCAUUAAUUAUUUGGUAAUAAAAUAAGAAAUCAUUCUCAUCGCAGAACUAAGUUAGGAAACCAGUUUUGGAAUAUGUAUAUUGUGGCUUCUUAAUGGCCAUCAUCUUGACUAAAGCUCAAUGCUGCAUAUGUUGUCACGCUUCUAUAUUUAAAUUGUUGUCUUCAGUUAACUCAUCUUUCUUGUUUACCUCAGAUAAGACCCAUUCUAUGUGUGUGUGUGUAGUUAUUUAUAAAAUACUUGUUAUUGAUGGUUUUUGCCUGUCAUGCUUAUAACUAAAGUUGCAUGAAGUUUCACUUAUCAUUCAUGCUCUUAAAGAUCUGCUCUGUUUUAUUAUUUCUCAACUUAUCAAUUAAUUUCAGUAAUAUACAUUUCAAUUCAUUCGUUGAUGUGUCAGAAGUUUUUUGUUUUUGUAGGCAUGCAAUUCUUAUCUAUCUUGCUUGUGCAUUUCCUGUAAGUUAUUUUAAUAUAUUUUUAUUUAUUUCAUUGUGCAAUUAUCCAACAAAUGGGAUUGUUCCAGUGCUCGGCUAGAAACCUCAAAAUUUAUCAUUUGCAUAGAAUGAGGGAACCCAAGAAAAGAAAUGAAAAAAUAAGCUCAUUCAAUUGGUGAUGUUAAUUUCCUGGAAAGUCUCAACUUUUUUUGGUAUCCAAACACUUUCCUAGAGCAGUAACCUUUGGCAUUUGCUUUUCCUUUAGUUCCUACUCCUAUGUAUACCUCUCUGAUCUUAUAGGCGGAUGUUGAGAAAGGAGCUAGAUGGCUUAAACUUCAAUGAGCUCCAGAACCUAGAGGACCAGUUGAGUGAAGGGGUAUUAACAAUGAAGGACAAGCCAAACUUGGUGGUCAUGGUUCUUUGUUCUGUAUGCUUGUAAUUAUCAAGUAUUAAGCUGGUUCUUAUCAUUUUAUUACCAA